UACGUAGGGUGCAGGCGUUAAUCGGAAUUACUGGGCGUAAAGCGUGCGCAGGCGGUCUGCUAAGAGAGAUGUGAAAUCCCCGGGCUCAACCUGGGAAUUGCAUUCGAUACUGGAUAGCUAGAGUUCGGCAGAGGGAAGCGGAAUUUCGGGUGUAGCGGUGAAAUGCGUAGAUAUCCGAAGGAACAUCAGUGGCGAAAGCGGCUCCUGGACCAGAACUGACGAUCAGGCACGAAAGCGUGGGGAG
rnacentral:rRNA from 1 species